UCCCUGACAGUCCAGUGGUUAGGACUUGGCAUCUUCACUGCCAAGGCCUGGGUUCAAUCCCUGGUUGGGGAA